AGUAUUCAAACUAGGGGCAGAAGUCAUCAAGUUGCUUUCAGUCGUCCUUCUCCUUAUGUACAAGGCACUAAACUAGUGAUGUUAAGCAUUUGCCCUCGAGUGAAGUUCAACUCAGUUGAUUCUCAGAUAAAUCCCACAUGAAGCGAAAGUCUACGCACCACUACAUGAAAGAUCUGACUGUCUAGUCAGAAAGAGUCUUUCUAGAAGCUUUAAUUUAGGAGCGUUUCAUCAAACUAGAAAGAUAUGAAUCUCAGACAGAUGGUCACGUAAGUAGUGGAUCUCACGUCCUAUCCUCAAGUCUUCUUAGUGAUCGUCUGCUCUCAAUGAAUCAAUGCCCGGUGGCUCUGAAUUCAAUAGAAAUCCCGUGAGUGAAACUCUGAGUUGAAAACGACUAAGCUUAUAUGAAUCUCAGACAGAUGGUUGCGUAAGUAGUGGAUCUCACGUCCUAUCUUCAAGUCUACUUAGUGAUCGUCUGCUCUCAAUGAAUCAAUGCCCGGUGGCUCUGAAUUCAAUAGAAAUCCCGUGAGUGAAACUCUGAGUUGAAAACGACUAAGCUUUUUGCCUUGACCUUGACACUAGUCUGAGCCUUUCCCAGGGCACCUUGCCUUCUUUCCUUGGCUUGGCGGGACACAGAAAUGAUUCUUUGCUAUCUAAAGGGAGUUUCGAUUCCGCAGAACCUAUAGGAGCAAUAGACGGAGUGGAGUAUGGCUGUGAGUCAGGCGCAGUAUCCUCACUGUUCUUGUUACAGAAUCAACUCUGAACGCUGUACAUGGUUAGCUGUAAGAAAGAAUAGCGAUUGUUGAAGAAGUUUGC
rnacentral:lncRNA from 1 species